rnacentral:rRNA from 1 species
AGAGUUUGAUCAUGGCUCAGGAUGAACGCUAGCUACAGGCUUAACACAUGGACAAGUCGAGGGGAAACGAUAUUGGUAAGCUUGCUUCCGAUAGGCGUCGACCGGCGUACGGGUGAGUAACGCGUAUCCAACCUGCCCACCACUUGGGGAUAACCUUGCGAAAGUAAGACUAAUACCCAAUGACGUCCCUAGAAGACAUCUGAAAGAGAUUAAAGAUUUAUCGGUGAUGGAUGGGGAUGCGUCUGAUUAGCUUGUUGGCGGGGUAACGGCCCACCAAGGCGACGAUCAGUAGGGGUUCUGAGAGGAAGGCCCCCCACAUUGGAACUGAGACACGGUCCAAACUCCUACGGGAGGCAGCA